rnacentral:rRNA from 1 species
AUUGAACGCUGGCGGCAUGCCUUACACAUGCAAGUCGAACGGCAGCACGGGGCAACCUGGUGGCGAGUGGCGAACGGGUGAGUAAUGCAUCGGAACGUACCUUUCAGUGGGGGAUAACGUAGCGAAAGUUACGCUAAUACCGCAUAUUCUGUGAGCAGGAAAGCAGGGGAUCGCAAGACCUUGCGCUGAUUGAGCGGCCGAUGUCAGAUUAGCUAGUUGGUGAGGUAAAGGCUCACCAAGGCGACGAUCUGUAGCGGGUCUGAGAGGAUGAUCCGCCACACUGGAACUGAGACCCGGUCCAGACUCCUACGGGAGGCAGCAGUGGGGAAUUUUGGACAAUGGGGGCAACCCUGAUUCAGCCAUGCCGCGUGAGUGAAGAAGGCCUUCGGGUUGUAAAGCUCUUUCGGCCGGGAAGAAAUCGCACGGGCUAAUACCCUGUGUGGAUGACGGUACCGGAAUAAGAAGCACCGGCUAACUACGUGCCAGCAGCCGCCGUAACAC